UCGAACCGGCCGGUUCAGGUUAGGCCUACUCUCAAUCUUCAACAAUCUAAUAUUCCUAAACUCAAACGCCGAUAAAACCUUAUACAACACCGUCGUUCCUCUAUCCUGAGCAAACACAAUACUCGUCUUAUACGGCCGGUCCGUUCUCGCCACCACCGGUUCACGUGCGAGCAUCAUGAACCGUGUUACGCAACUCGAAUCGUCCUGUAUCGACUCAGCGAGUAUGUUUAAAUUGUAGAUCUCGGCAGCGCGUGGUGACGCAAUCGCCGCCGUGUCACGGAGGUUAUUCGCCGCCACGUGUUCCGCAGCUCCAGCGGUAUCAGCCACCGCCUCACGAACGACGUGGUUGAAUCCGAAUCCGAGUUUGUUCAGAGUUAACUCGCACUGAGCGAGAGCUUGUGGAUGACUAAUCACGCGCUUGAUGUGCUCCGUACGGACGCCUGGUAAGGCCACAAGGCAGUGGCGGAACGAGAUCUGGAUCUCGCCGACGAUGUGGAGUCGGUGGCGGAGGAGGAGGUCGUAGUUCCGGUGAACGCUGCCACCGAGAGAGUUUUCCACCGGUAAAACUGCUCGAUCGGCGAUCCAAAGCUCUACGGAUUGAAAUGCGAGUUCUGAAUUGUUACACGGAAUAGGUUUGCACUCCGGAUAAGCUUUUCCGGCGGCGGUUUCACUGUACGCGCCGGGAAGACCUUGAUAGGCUACACGUAACCUUGAACUGUGGUUUGCAGCCGGUGAAGUGUUGGUGAGUGGUUUUGGAAACUUGUUCACCGAUAUCAGAUUCAGAUCUAGCAUGUUGCGGUUAUUAACAACGCUUGGUGAAGGGGUAAUCGCCAAGCUGAGAAAUGUGAAGGAGAAUUGGGUUUUUAUAUUGGGAUGA
rnacentral:lncRNA from 1 species